rnacentral:rRNA from 1 species
GACGAACGCUGGCGGCGUGCUUAACACAUGCAAGUCGAACGGAAAGGCCCUGCUUUUGUGGGGUGCUCGAGUGGCGAACGGGUGAGUAACACGUGAGUAACCUGCCCUUGACUUUGGGAUAACUUCAGGAAACUGGGGCUAAUACCGGAUAGGAGCUCCUGCUGCAUGGUGGGGGUUGGAAAGUUUCGGCGGUUGGGGAUGGACUCGCGGCUUAUCAGCUUGUUGGUGGGGUAGUGGCUUACCAAGGCUUUGACGGGUAGCCGGCCUGAGAGGGUGACCGGCCACAUUGGGACUGAGAUACGGCCCAGACUCCUACGGGAGGCAACAGUGGGGAAUAUUGCACAAUGGGCGGAAGUCUGAUGCAGCAACGCCGCGUGCGGGAUGACGGCCUUCGGGUUGUAAACCACUUUCGCCUGUGACGAGGCGUGAGUGACGGUAAUGGGUAAAGAAGCAACGGCUAACUACGUG